GGGGUGAGCGCUGGAUGCUCGGCUGUGUCCCCGGUGCCCUGUGCUCCUGGGCCUGCGCUGUUGGAAUCGCGCUCCCGGCUGCGCAGCGCAGCCC
rnacentral:pre_miRNA from 1 species